AUGUUGGAUAGAUAAUUGAUUAAUGGUUGUGUUAUGAUGAAUUUGUAAUAUAUUUAUUUACUUUUAGUAUAUUUAAAUUUCCUAAUUCAAGCUUGUUAUUUGGGUUAUAAUAUGUGAAUCUUUAAUUUUUUAUCAUUGAAUUGAAUUAUAAAAAUAGGGAGCUUGUUAUUUGGGUUAUAAUAUGUAAAUUUUUAAUUUUUUAU
rnacentral:lncRNA from 1 species